UGUCUAAGAAUACAUUCGCUAAAUUAGG
rnacentral:sRNA from 1 species